rnacentral:tRNA from 1 species
GGCAGUUUGUGUGGUGGUUAGACACAUGGGCUCUGGAAUCCCAAAAGCCCUGGGUUCUAAUCCCAGCUCUGCCA